UGCCAGCCGCCGCGGUAAUACGGAGGGUGCAAGCGUUAAUCGGAAUUACUGGGCGUAAAGCGCGCGUAGGCGGUUAUUUAAGUCAGAGGUGAAAGGCCACCGCUUAACGGUGGGACUGCCUUUGAUACUGUAGUGCUUGAAUCAGGUUGAGGUCGGCGGAAUGUGACAUGUAGCGGUGAAAUGCUUAGAUAUGUCAUAGAACACCAAUUGCGAAGGCAGCUGACUAGACCUUGAUUGACGCUGAGGCACGAAAGCGUGGGGAGCGAACAGGAUUAGAUA
rnacentral:rRNA from 1 species